rnacentral:misc_RNA from 1 species
GUAGAAACAAGCAAGUCAAACAUUCUAUCCCCAAUACAACUGAUGGAGAAAUCAUCAUGAAAAUCUACCACUUUGUUUCUUUGGUGCAAAAUCUUGGCUGUCUUUAUACAUUACUCCAUUAAGGUAUCGGAUUAAUGUAAUGAAUUCAUUUGAUGGUGCUCUAUUCAGCCACGUGGUACGGUGCAAGCAAAUUCGCGUCAGUCCAAGCAAUACAUUAUCAUGUAUAUUGUCAAAGAUUUAG